rnacentral:rRNA from 1 species
GACGUAGGGUGCGAGCGUUGUCCGGAUUUAUUGGGCGUAAAGAGCUCGUAGGCGGCUCGUCGCGUCGACCGUGAAAACCCGCGGCUUAACUGCGGGCUUGCGGUUGAUACGGGCGGGCUAGAGUUCGGUAGGGGAGACUGGAAUUCCUGGUGUAGCGGUGAAAUGCGCAGAUAUCAGGAGGAACACCGGUGGCGAAGGCAGGUCUCUGGGCCGAUACUGACGCUGAGGAGCGAAAGCGUGGGGAGCGAACAGG